rfam:Legionella waltersii strain ATCC 51914 Lwal_ctg041, whole genome shotgun sequence.
AGAGUUGGUCAGGCAAUCGCUCUUUGUCUUAGGAUAAGGGGAGGAAAGUCCGGGCUCCAUAGGGUAGAGUGCCAGGUAACUCCUGGGAGGUGUGAACCUACGGAAAGUGCCACAGAAAAUAUACCGCUAUUUGCGUAGUCAUGCUGACUUGUUCAGAAUGAUCAUGCAAAAGUAAGGGUGAAAUGGUGCGGUAAGAGCGCACCGCGCGAUUGGUAACAAUCGUGGCAGGGAAAACCCCGCUCGGAGCAAGACCAAAUAGGGAUCCACGUGACCAAUGGUCAUAGCGUAUGACCCAUACGGGAUUCGGGUAGGUCGCUUGAGACAUACGGUGACGUAUGUCCUAGAUGAAUGAUUGUCCUCGACAGAACCCGGCUUAUCGACCAACUCCUUUA